GAGCGGCGGACGGGUGAGUAACGCGUGGGUAACCUGCCCUGUACACACGGAUAACAUACCGAAAGGUAUGCUAAUACGGGAUAACAUAAGAAAUUCGCAUGUUUUUCUUAUCAAAGCUCCGGCGGUACAGGAUGGACCCGCGUCUGAUUAGCUAGUUGGUGAGGUAAUGGCUCACCAAGGCAACGAUCAGUAGCCGACCUGAGAGGUUAACCCCCCACAUUGGUACUGAGACACGGACCAAACUCCUACGGGAGGCAGCAGUGAGGAAUAUUGGUCAAUGGACGCAAGUCUGAACCAGCCAUGCCGCGUGCAGGAAGACGGCUCUAUGAGUUGUAAACUGCUUUUGUACGAGGGUAAACGCUCUUACGUGUAAGAGUCUGAAAGUAUAGUACGAAUAAGGAUCGGCUAACUCCGUGCCAGCAGCCGCGGUAAUACGGAGGAUCCAAGCGUUAUCCGGAUUUAUUGGGUUUAAAGGGUGCGUAGGCGGUUUGAUAAGUUAGAGGUGAAAUACCGGGGCUCAACUCCGGAACUGCCUCUAAUACUGUUGAACUAGAGAGUAGUUGCGGUAGGCGGAAUGUAUGGUGUAGCGGUGAAAUGCUUAGAGAUCAUACAGAACACCGAUUGCGAAGGCAGCUUACCAAACUAUAUCUGACGUUGAGGCACGAAAGCGUGGGGAGCAAACAGGAUUAGAUACCCUGGUAGUCCACGCAGUAAACGAUGAUAACUCGUUGUCGGCGAUACACAGUCGGUGACUAAGCGAAAGCGAUAAGUUAUCCACCUGGGGAGUACGUACGCAAGAAUGAAACUCAAAGGAAUUGACGGGGGCCCGCACAAGCAGUGGAGUAUGUGGUUUAAUUCGAAGCAACGCGAAGAACCUUACCAGGUCUUGACAUCCUUCUGACCACUCCGUAAUGGGAGUCUUCCUUCGGGACAGAAGAGACAGGUGGUGCAUGGUUGUCGUCAGCUCGUGUCGUGAGAUGUUGGGUUAAGUCCCGCAACGAGCGCAACCCCUAUCUUCAGUAGCCAGCAGGUAAGGCUGGGCACUCUGGAGAGACUGCCAGGGAUAACCUGGAGGAAGGUGGGGAUGACGUCAAAUCAUCAUGCCCCUUAUGGCUUGGGCUAUACACGUGCUACAAUGGCGUAAACAAAGGGAAGCGAGCCUGCGAGGGGGAGCAAAUCCCAAAAAUAACGUCUCAGUUCGGAUUGUAGUCUGCAACUCGACUACAUGAAGCUGGAAUCGCUAGUAAUCGCGAAUCAGAAUGUCGCGGUGAAUACGUUCCCGGGUCUUGCACACACCGCCCGUCAAG
rnacentral:rRNA from 1 species